rnacentral:rRNA from 1 species
UACGGAGGGUGCAAGCGUUAAUCGGAAUUAUUGGGCGUAAAGGGCGCGUAGGCGGCUUUUCAAGUGACGGGUGAAAUCCCUCGGCUUAACCGAGGAACUGCCUGUCAGACUGGAAGGCUUGAGGCCGGGAGAGGUGAGUGGAAUUCCCAGUGUAGCGGUGAAAUGCGUAGAUAUUGGGAGGAACACCAGUGGCGAAGGCGGCUCACUGGACCGGAACUGACGCUGAGGCGCGAAAGCGUGGGGAGCAAACAGG